rnacentral:rRNA from 1 species
AUUGAACGCUGGCGGCAUGCCUUACACAUGCAAGUCGAACGGUAACAGGGUGCUUGCACCGCUGACGAGUGGCGAACGGGUGAGUAAUGCGUCGGAACGUGCCGAGUAGUGGGGGAUAACGCAGCGAAAGUUGUGCUAAUACCGCAUACGUACUGAGGUAGAAAGUGGGGGACCUUCGGGCCUCACGCUAUUCGAGCGGCCGACGUCUGAUUAGCUAGUAGGCGAGGUAAAGGCUCACCUAGGCGACGAUCAGUAGCGGGUCUGAGAGGAUGGUCCGCCACACUGGGACUGAGACACGGCCCAGACUCCUACGGGAGGCAGCAGUGGGGAAUUUUGGACAAUGGGCGAAAGCCUGAUCCAGCCAUGCCGCGUGUCUGAAGAAGGCCUUCGGGUUGUAAAGGACUUUUGUCGGGGAGGAAAUCCCCAGCGUUAAUACCGCUGGGGGAUGACAGUACCUGAAGAAUAAGCACCGGCUAACUACGUGCCAGCAGCCGCCGUAAUAC